CAAUAGUGAAAGAACUAAUUAUUCAACAUACAAGUACUAUGAUUACUUUAAAUCAUAGACAUGCAUACUACUUUAACUAAAUUCUUUUACAACUUUGCAUCAUUUCUUUUAUACAUCACAUAUUCCUCAAAAUAUAACCAUUUGCAUUUAAAAAGAUAAUCCUUUACAUCAUUCAUUUAAAUAUCUUUGAUACAACUAAAAUCAUUAAA
rnacentral:lncRNA from 1 species